GACAGAGGGUGCAAACGUUGUUCGGAAUUACUGGGCGUAAAGCGCGUGUAGGCGGCUAAGUAAGUCGGGCGUGAAAUCCCACGGCUCAACCGUGGAAGUGCACUCGAAACUGCGCAGCUAGAGUCCUGGAGAGGAAGGUGGAAUGCUUGGUGUAGAGGUGAAAUUCGUAGAUAUUGGGAAGAACACCGGUGGCGAAGGCGGCUCACUGGCUCAUUACUGACGCUCAGGCGCGAUAGCGUGGGGAUCAAACAGG
rnacentral:rRNA from 1 species